GGGUCGUUAGCUCAGUCACUUUUCGUUUAGAUCAAAAGCUGCAGUUGGCUUUUAACCAAUUGGUCGAAGGUGCGAAUCCUUCACGACCCC
rnacentral:tRNA from 1 species